AUUGAACGCUGGCGGCAUGCCUUACACAUGCCAGUCGAACGGCAGCACGGGUGCUUGCACCUGGUGGCGAGUGGCGAACGGGUGAGUAAUACAUCGGAACAUGUCCUGUAGUGGGGGAUAGCCCGGCGAAAGCCGGAUUAAUACCGCAUACGAUCUACGGAUGAAAGCGGGGGACCUUCGGGCCUCGCGCUAUAGGGUUGGCCGAUGGCUGAUUAGCUAGUUGGUGGGGUAAAGGCCUACCAAGGCGACGAUCAGUAGCUGGUCUGAGAGGACGACCAGCCACACUGGGACUGAGACACGGCCCAGACUCCUACGGGAGGCAGCAGUGGGGAAUUUUGGACAAUGGGCGAAAGCCUGAUCCAGCAAUGCCGCGUGUGUGAAGAAGGCCUUCGGGUUGUAAAGCACUUUUGUCCGGAAAGAAAUCCUUGGCCCUAAUACGGUCGGGGGAUGACGGUACCGGAAGAAUAAGCACCGGCUAACUACGU
rnacentral:rRNA from 1 species